GUGGGCGCUGGAGAACUGAGGGGGGCUGCUCCUAGUACGAGAGGACCGGAGUGGACGCAUCACUGGUGUUCGGGUUGUCAUGCCAAUGGCACUGCCCGGUAGCUAAAUGCGGAAGAGAUAAGUGCUGAAAGCAUCUAAGCACGAAACUUGCCCCGAGAUGAGUUCUCCCUGACCCUUUAAGGGUCCUGAAGGAACGUUGAAGACGACGACGUUGAUAGGCCGGGUGUGUAAGCGCAGCGAUGCGUUGAGCUAACCGGUACUAAUGAACCGUGAGGCUUAACCUUACAACGCCGAAGGUGUUU
rnacentral:rRNA from 1 species